GAUGAACGCUGGCGGCGUGCCUAAUACAUGCAAGUCGAGCGAACGGACGAGAAGCUUGCUUCUCUGAUGUUAGCGGCGGACGGGUGAGUAACACGUGGAUAACCUACCUAUAAGACUGGGAUAACUUCGGGAAACCGGAGCUAAUACCGGAUAAUAUUUUGAACCGCAUGGUUCAAAAGUGAAAGACGGUCUUACUGUCACUUAUAGAUGGAUCCGCGCUGCAUUAGCUAGUUGGUAAGGUAACGGCUUACCAAGGCAACGAUGCAUAGCCGACCUGAGAGGGUGAUCGGCCACACUGGAACUGAGACACGGUCCAGACUCCUACGGGAGGCAGCAGUAGGGAAUCUUCCGCAAAGGGCGAAAGCCUGACGGAGCAACGCCGCGUGAGUGAUGAAGGUCUUCGGAUCGUAAAACUCUGUUAUUAGGGAAGAACAUAUGUGUAAGUAACUGUGCACAUCUUGACGGUACCUAAUCAGAAAGCCACGGCUAACUACGUG
rnacentral:rRNA from 1 species